UACGUAGGGGGCAAGCGUUGUCCGGAUUUAUUGGGCGUAAAGAGCGUGUAGGCGGUUUGGUAGGUCCGCUGUGAAAACUCGAGGCUCAACCUCGAGACGCCGGUGGAAACCAUCAGGCUAGAGUCCGGAAGAGGAGAGUGGAAUUCCUGGUGUAGCGGUGAAAUGCGCAGAUAUCAGGAAGAACACCCGUGGCGAAGGCGGCUCUCUGGUACGUGACUGACGCUGAGACGCGAAAGCGUGGGGAGCAAACAGG
rnacentral:rRNA from 1 species